UGCGUUUCUUGUUGCAAAGUUUAUGAAAAAAGUUUCACUUAGGUGUUUAUAAAAAACUCAAUAAUAAAUUUACUUUACAAAAUAUUAGAAACCCAUUCUUGUUACUUUCCUCGUAUUCCAAGUUUGUCUCACUCUCGUCACUCCGAUCAACUUCACCACCGUAUCUCUCACUUUGCAGUCGUAUCACAACCUUGCGCCUCUCAUCUUGCCGCUGCAUCUCUCACCUCGUCAGAGUAUCUCUCCCUCUCGCAGAUUAUGGCAUCUUCACCGUCGUAUCUCACGAUUCAGUAAGGCCAAGUUGAUGACUAUGUAUGCUAAAUGUGGGUGUUUGGAGAAAGGCACAUAAAGUGUUUGAUGAAAUGCUUGUGAGGGAUUUGUUUACUUGGUCUGCUUGAUACUACAUAUGUGUAGCAGCAUAUACACUGUAUUAAAGCUAAUGGACGAUGAUGGUGAUAGAACUGCUCUUGGAACAUACUCUGCUUCUUGGCUUGGAGACAGUUGUAAACAAAGAUGGGAUUCUAUAAAGGUUAUUACUUAUUUGUACGACUUUUCAGUUUCUGACUUUAAGUAGUUGCAUAUAUGAAUUAUUUGUGUUUGGCUGUUAAUGGCUUGAAAGUUGAAAUAUAAAGGAACACAUGUUCCAAUUGCAAUAUUUUCUAGAAAAAGGAAGAUUUCACUUCAGAAGCUACUGAGAAGGACCUUGAGCUUGAAGCUCAACCUGUUGAAACAAGGAGCAUUAUAUAGCAGCAUGUUUUAUGCUCUUGCAACUAAAAGCCCGUGAGUUUCUAUUCCUUCAGUUUGUAAAUGCUGAAUUGGUUGCUGGAAAAAAUCGGAAUCUAGUAAUGUGAGGAAAAAUCAUUGUAUUAACUUUGGAUAAUUAUUUUCCUUCAGUUCUGUUGCUCAGUUUUGAGUGUUGUUUUGAUUUUUUGGUUCAAUAAUAUUUGGUUUUGCUGUUGUAUGUUGGUUUGAGGUUUUUGAUAUCAGUGCAAGUUUGUCUAUGUUGCUGCCUGUUUAUUGACAUUUAGUAGCAGGGUCUGAUUUGGGCUCAUAUCAGAGGUGGCAUUUUCUGGUUAUAAGCUUGGGAGGAUUUCUGGUUUUUAUCUUGUGUCUCUUUACUAGUUUUAUUGAGUUUUGGCUUAAUAAGAUGAAAUCUAUGGUUUUGUCUAUGGUUUAUAAAUGAUAUAUCCAUGGAGCUGAAUUCUGUAGUUGUUGGAAUUUGUUGCAGGUUCUUCAAAAGUAAAAGUCCUUGUGUUCAAGUUGUGGUGAUGAAAGCUUAGGAGGCUAAAUGAUGGCAUGCUUAAGGAUUUUCUAUUGCAAAAAUUAGUGCGGCUAUAGAUGUGCACUAUUUAGUGCAAAAAUUAGUGCGGCUGUAGUUGUUGUGUUGCAUUGUUCGUUUCCAUUAUGAAAUCAAAUUUCAAACAUUUGUAACAUAUUUGGAGUUGUAAAUUUGAAUGAUAUUUGAUCUUCUAAUAUUGGUGAAUUCAAAUAUGAAUGAAGUCUAAAGAAAGAAUUAUUUGGUAGAUUCA